rnacentral:rRNA from 1 species
UACGUAGGGGGGCAAGCGUUGUCCGGAUUUAUUGGGCGUAAAGCGCUCGCAGGUGGUUCGUUGCGUCGUGCGUGAAAGACCCCGGCUCAACUGGGGAGGGUCGUGCGAUACGGGCGAACUGGAGGCCAGUAGGGGGGAUGCGGAAUUCCGGGUGUAGUGGUGGAAUGCGUAGAGAUCCGGAGGAACACCAGCGGCGAAGGCGGCAUCCUGGACUGGUCCUGACACUCAUGAGCGAAAGCGUGGGGAGCGAUCCGG